rnacentral:rRNA from 1 species
GAUGAACGCUGGCGGCGUGCCUAAUACAUGCAAGUCGAGCGAACAGACGAGGAGCUUGCUCCUCUGACGUUAGCGGCGGACGGGUGAGUAACACGUGGAUAACCUACCUAUAAGACUGGGAUAACUUCGGGAAACCGGAGCUAAUACCGGAUAAUAUAUUGAACCGCAUGGUUCAAUAGUGAAAGACGGUUUUGCUGUCACUUAUAGAUGGAUCCGCGCCGCAUUAGCUAGUUGGUAAGGUAACGGCUUACCAAGGCGACGAUGCGUAGCCGACCUGAGAGGGUGAGCGGCCACACUGGAACUGAGACACGGUCCAGACUCCUACGGGAGGCAGCAGUAGGGAAUCUUCCGCAAUGGGCGAAAGCCUGACGGAGCAACGCCGCGUGAGAGAUGAAGGUCUUCGGAUCGUAAAACUCUGUUAUUAGGGAAGAACAAAUGUGUAAGUAACUAUGCACGUCUUGACGGUACCUAAUCAGAAAGCCACGGCUAACUACGUG